rnacentral:rRNA from 1 species
UACGUAGGCAGCAAGCGUUGUUCGGAGUUACUGGGCGUAAAGGGCGCGUAGGCGGCCCUCUAAGUCAGACGUGAAAUCCCUCGGCUCAACCGGGGAACUGCGUCUGAGACUGGAAGGCUUGAAUUCGGGAGAGGGAUGUGGAAUUCCAGGUGUAGCGGUGAAAUGCGUAGAUAUCUGGAGGAACACCGGUGGCGAAGGCGGCAUCCUGGACCGAUAUUGACGCUGAUGCGCGAAAGCCAGGGGAGCAAACGGG